CAAACUAAAGAUGGCGACCGGCGCACGGGUGAGUAACACGUAUCCAACCUGCCGAUAACUCGGGGAUAGCCUUUCGAAAGAAAGAUUAAUAUCCGAUGGUAUAUUAAAACCGCAUGGUUUUACUAUUAAAGAAUUUCGGUUAUCGAUGGGGAUGCGUUCCAUUAGUUUGUUGGCGGGGUAACGGCCCACCAAGACUACGAUGGAUAGGGGUUCUGAGAGGAAGGUCCUCCACAUUGGAACUGAGACACGGUCCAA
rnacentral:rRNA from 1 species